rnacentral:rRNA from 1 species
UACGAAGGGGGCUAGCGUUGCUCGGAAUCACUGGGCGUAAAGGGCGCGUAGGCGGCUCUUUAAGUCGGGGGUGAAAGCCUGUGGCUCAACCACAGAAUUGCCUUCGAUACUGGGGAUCUCGAGACCGGAAGAGGUGAGUGGAACUGCGAGUGUAGAGGUGAAAUUCGUAGAUAUUCGCAAGAACACCAGUGGCGAAGGCGGCUCACUGGUCCGGUUCUGACGCUGAGGCGCGAAAGCGUGGGGAGCAAACAGG